UACGUAGGGGGCAAGCGUUGUCCGGAAUCAUUGGGCGUAAAGAGCGCGUAGGCGGCCCUGUAAGUCCGCUGUGAAAGUCAAGGGCUCAACCCUUGGAUGCCGGUGGAUACUGCAGGGCUAGAGUCCGGAAGAGGCGAGUGGAAUUCCUGGUGUAGCGGUGAAAUGCGUAGAUAUCUGGAGGAAUACCGGUGGCGAAGGCGGCAUCCUGGACCGGCAUUGACGCUGAUGAGCGAAAGCUAGGGGAGCAAACGGG
rnacentral:rRNA from 1 species